rnacentral:rRNA from 1 species
UACGUAGGGGGCAAGCGUUGUCCGGAUUUAUUGGGCGUAAAGAGCGUGUAGGCGGCUAGGUAGGUCCGUUGUGAAAACUCGAGGCUCAACCUCGAGACGCCGGUGGAAACCAUCUAGCUAGAGUCCGGAAGAGGAGAGUGGAAUUCCUGGUGUAGCGGUGAAAUGCGCAGAUAUCAGGAAGAACACCAAUGGCGAAAGCAGCUCUCUGGGACGGUACUGACGCUGAGGCGCGAAAGCGUGGGGAGCGAACAGG